GGAAUAGUUUUCAUUGGUAAGAUAAAACGAUUGCUAAUUGUUCGGGGAGGCCCUUAGGUGUUCGAUUCACCUCUAUUCCG
rnacentral:tRNA from 1 species